rnacentral:sRNA from 1 species
AUCUUUUAGCAACUUAUUGUAUACAUUAUAAACAUUGAGUAAGACCACAAGCAUUAUUCGGAAUUGUGAGAAAUUAAUCAAAAUGAAAAUUGUCAGCUUAUUACUUGCCAUUUUUCUGAUCAUGGCCAUUACAAGGAUGUCCACUGGCUUUCCACUUACGACGGAUGAUUGGUUCCCCAGCACGACGCCACCCACUACUCGUCUCAGCGACUUGUGUGGCGGAUGCCCUGCUGGGGAAUACUGCAUGACACUUCACGACCAUACUUGUGUCACUGGCUUCCAGUGUUUACCGCCUUCUCACGUCUGCUUUCCUUGGAUAGUUUAAAGUCACAACCUGGUGUUGUAGUGAAACAAACAGACAUUGUCACCACUAAUGUAUUUGCCUGCUGUCUCAAAAGCAAAAAAGUCCAGUCAGGCAUGUAAUGAAUAAAUUUUGCUAAUAAAUACCAUG